AAAAACAUCUUUUCUUGUUAGUUUCUGAAGUAUGGCCUGCCCGCUGACGUAUUUUGAGUUGAAGGGCCGCGGUAUUUUGACCGUGCAAAGGUAGCAUAGUCAUUAGUUCUUUAAUUGUGAUCUGGUAUGAAUGGCUUGACGAGACAUAGGCUGUCUUAGUGUGAAUUUAUUGUUGAAUUUGGAGUUUAAGUUAAAAUUCUUAGAUGUUUUUAUGGGACGAGAAGACCCUAUAGAGUUUUACAUUUGAUUGUGCAUUUCUUGUUGUUUGUUUUAGGUUUUUGCGUGUCUUUUGUUUUGUUGGGGUGAUGGGAGGAAUUUAUUUAACUCCUCUUUUUAUGUGAUAUAUUGAUUUAUAUUUGUUUUGAUCCAUUUAUUUUGAUUGUAAGACUAAAUUACCUUAGGGAUAACAGCGUUAUCCUCCCUGAGAGUUCUUAUUGGCGGGGGGGUUUGCGACCUCGAUGUUGGAUUAAGGUUUAUUUUU
rnacentral:rRNA from 1 species